rnacentral:tRNA from 1 species
GGGGAUAUAGUUUAAUAGGUAAAACUGCGAUUUUGCAUAUCGUUAAUUCAGGGUCGGAUCCUGAUAUCUCCA